CAAUAGCGUAUAUUAAAGUUGUUGCAGUUAAAAAGCUCGUAGUUGGAUUUGUGGCGUACGGUGUGUUCCGGGCACUUGUUGUCUGAGUAACCUGCUGUUGCCAUCCUUGGGUGGAACCUGUGUGGCAUUAGGUUGUCGUGCAGGGGAUGCCCAUCAUUUACUGUGAAAAAAUUAGAGUGUUCAAGGCAGGCUUAUGCCGUUGAAUAUAUUAGCAUGGAAUAAUGAGAUAGGACUUUUUUGCUAUUUUGUUGGUUUGCGCAAAGAGGUAAUGAUUAAUAGGGACAGUUGGGGGUAUUCGUAUUCCAUUGUCAGAGGUGAAAUUCUUGGAUUUUUGGAAGACGAACUACUGCGAAAGCAUUUACCAAGGAUGUUUUCAUUAA
rnacentral:rRNA from 1 species